UGAAAAUCUUUUUCCAGGUAUACAAGAUCAGUGAGCCUGUUCAAUGUAUACUGUGAUUAGAAUUUUUCUUCAGAUAUUUAUAUCAACAUUUCAGGUUUCGGGAGAAAUGUUUUCUGAGCCUACCUGUCAAAGAGAAACUUAUAAAAGAGUGGCACAACAUUUGAAGAUAUUAACUGCAUUUGUUUAUUGAGCUUCAAAAACUGUUUUACAAAUGUGAACAUCAAGAUAUGCGGCAUUCCUGUGCUAUCCGUGGAACUGCAGUUAGACAGUAAACUUCUGGAAGAUGGAAAUACUGGCUUAUAUUUUAUCUUGCAUUUCUAGCUGGUCAGAAUUGGUGCUCAAUAAAGAUGGGUUGAUGCACA
rnacentral:lncRNA from 12 species